rnacentral:rRNA from 1 species
AUGCAAGUCGAGGGGAAACGACAUCGAAAGCUUGCUAAGUUUGAUGGCGACCGGCGCACGGGUGAGUAACGCGUAUCCAACCUUCCGCUUACUCGGGGAUAGCCUUUCGAAAGAAAGAUUAAUACCCGAUUGUAUCUUAAGCACGCAUGAGAUUAAGAUUAAAGAUUUAUCGGUAAGCGAUGGGGAUGCGUUCCAUUAGGCAGUUGGCGGGGUAACGGCCCACCAAACCUACGAUGGAUAGGGGUUCUGAGAGGAAGGUCCCCACAUUGGAACUGAGACACGGUCCAAACUCC